ACUAAUUUUGAAAACGGUGAUAAAGUCCUAAUUCUUUUUUUUUUUUUUCUCCAUUUCAUGUGUUAUUAUUCUCUAGGGGAAAACUAAGGAUUAUUGGGUUGUCAGAAAUUAUCCAGGUGAAAACGCAUCAUGACUUUUCUGGCGACCCUACACAACAGAAGCCAUGUGACAGAGCCAUUUGUCCCCGAACGUCCAGGCUUCUGUACAUUCCAGAGCCUUCCUGCAGUAGGCCAGCGUGAACCGCACACGUUCUACUCAAUGGGCUGAAGGCAGGAAGGUGCCCCAUAGCUGGAGCUGCAAUGUGAGUGCGAAGCAGCCAUUUAUAGUUCCACCAGUGAAACGCGAAAGCAAUGUCUUACCCCACACAACAGGCACAGGUGAUUAAUUCACACCGCUACACUUAGGUUACACGUUUGAGGGUACAGUUCUCUAUUCCCUAAACCUCGUAGUAAGAUAUCCCCACCUUAGAAUAAACAUGGCAGAGACAGCACAGCACUGACGUCCUCAGCGCAGCUUCAGCUGCAUCCCAGGUCGCUGUGCUCCAACGGUGGGCCGAGGGAAGAGCCAGGAGCGCAGAGGAGUUCAAGACUGUUAAUGCUCGGAGAGGAGAGAACUGAGACCAGUUGCAUCCAGACGCCGAAGUGUGUAUUCCUGGCACUGCUUUGAAGAUGUUCAUUGAGUAAUUGAAAUAGAGUCACUAAAAUGACACCCAGGAGGGAAUGUCUGGCUUGCACUAGUCAGUGAACCUCAUCCUGCCUCCAUUGAACAUCAGUCAGUUGAGACCUGUCUUGUAAACUGUGAAGCCUUGGUUCCUCAUUUCUCCCAGACUGUGCCUCAGCUUCUCCUUCUCAGCACCCACCAGAGGGCACCACCUGGUUACAAUCCUGACAGAUCUAAGAGCACUGUAGCUAAACAUUCAA